rnacentral:rRNA from 1 species
UACGGAGGGUGCAAGCGUUAUCCGGAUUCACUGGGUUUAAAGGGUGCGUAGGCGGCGCAGUAAGUCAGGAGUGAAAGUUUGCGGCUCAACCGUAAAAUUGCUUUUGAUACUGCUGUGCUAGAAUUAGGAUGAGGUCAGCGGAAUGUGGCAUGUAGCGGUGAAAUGCAUAGAUAUGCCAUAGAACACCAAUUGCGAAGGCAGCUGGCUAGACCUAUAUUGACGCUGAGGCACGAAAGCGUGGGGAGCGAACAGG